ACUUCCCCACAAGCCCUCACUGUUCUCUCCAAGGGAGUAAACCAGGAGCCCAGAAGGAAGAGGCUGCGUGUACAGAAGGAGGCUGACUGGGAUGGCCUGAGAGCUGGGGACUGGCAGUCCAGAAGUGGCUUCCAUCAGCAUUCCCUGGAGCCAAAGGUGGAUGGCAAGAGGGAGGCGCUGGAGCUGGAGCCCUUCUUCUCUUUUCAGGCUGUCCGCUCUUCAGAACUGCCCCAUGGCAGCAGCUCGAAGCCCCGCUGGUGGCGCACGGGGAGACAGACUGCGGGCUACCGACUUGAGAAGAUCCAGCCCCAGACGACUGUCAGAUCCAUGGCAGGAGACAAACAGGCGGCAACAGUCAGGCACCACAAGGACAAUUUAUUACCCAAAGCAGUUUGAGGAAUUCCAAGCAUUGGUCACAGCUCUCCCCAGUCACAAGAAAGCCAGAGCCUCUUCAAACUCACCCUCCACUCCCAGCUGAAGGCAAGGAUUAAAAGGCUGCAACCCAAGUUAAGUCACAGCUGUAAUAUCCUCAUUCUUGACUAAUAAUCUCAAAGUCACAAAUGCGCAUAAAGUGAUUUGGACCCAAAUCGUGUUUACAGAGGAAAGCUCCACGAUUAAAAUACAAUUGGAAAGAUCAUUCCAAGAGAAAAGAUAACAAGAGUGUUAACAGGUAAGGAGGAGGGAUUACUGUUUAUAAUGAUCAGAAAUAAAUGGAAUUGCCUAUCAUCAUCAUCAGGGAGGGUGAAGGGAAUGCUAAGCCUGGGGCUGGAGGGGGAGGACAGGUACACUGGCCAAACCCUCCUGGGCAGGUCUCCCAGGAGGACUCCCCUUGACUGCUGCCCUGAGGAAGGAGCCUCCUGGUUGCCUAGCGACAAAGGACCCCCCCCCCCCCAGGUGACUGCCUCUGAAUCUGCAGAUGGGUUGGUGGGGGGAGGGGGGUGUUGGGAAGACAGUUUAGGUUACACAGUUCUCAGGAGUUGAAGAAGAGGCAAUCUUCAAGCUGUACUGAGAACUUCCCUAUUUCUACCUUUGGAGGAUGUGCAAGCUGGUUGGCCCUCAUGUGGGAUUUCAGUUCGUGGGUUUUUUUAAAUUGACUUAAAACUUAUCCUAGACCCAAGAAGGUCAGUCCCUUAAAGUCUCCUUUUAUCAUCAAACUAAAUAGCACUUAUAUCUAGAAACACUGUGCUCUAAAAAUGGCUGACACAUUCAUGUCACAAACUGAGGUUUUCGUGAAAAUCAAUUUCUGUGCCAGUCAAGUCUGGAUAAAGUUAUCUCUUCAUAAUUUAGCUCCCACCCCCCAACUGGCCAGUCACAGUGGAACCAGGAACCCAAGGGGCAGAUUUCUUUCCUGAUUUAGGCACUCCAGGAAGAAGGGGAGUUCCCAGCACCUGCCUAACCUGGCUCCAUUUGCUGAACUUUGCUCUGGAUGAGUAGGUCACUCUGGCUGCAAAUUCCCCCAAACUCUCCCUACUGUGUUUUUAAGGCACACCAAUUCCUCUGUGUAAGGCUCUCUGCUUAUAAUGAAUUAUUUUAAUUAUUUCUGCUACUCAAAAGAAACUUCUGCAUCAAAGCCCACCUGCCCUGAGAUACUGGCUCUGUGUGGGGGUGGGAGGAUGAGGGCAGAGCCCAAUUAAUAUUAGGGAUUCUGGUCGUUGGGGUCGCACUUGAGCAUGACUUUCAACCCCGUUCCCUUUCUGGCUGUUUCAAAGGCCUCCAGAGCUUUCUCCAGAGGAAACCUAUGAGUAACUAAGGGCUUUACAUUCACAGCCUUGGACGCAAGCAUUGAAAUUGCCAUCGGCCACCUGUAAAAGAUCACAAGUGAUACAUUCAACCUACAGGAGGAAAGAACCAGAUCCCCCAAACUGCCAAGCUCGAGAUAGGCCUGGUCGUGAUUAUUUAUAGUGCUGUGGUUCUACAAGGUCUAUUCUACAAACAAGCAAUGAUAGAAGUGACCUUAUGGCUUGCAAUCUGGGAGUAUGGAGUCUGUUCCCAAAGGCCUCCACCCCUCUGCAAUGUCUAUCUUGAAGCCUAGAAUUCCUUUGGCAUGAAGGCAUAAGGCAGAUAGAAGCCACUGUGAAAAGGCAGAUAAGACUCAGAGAGGCAGCCCAGGAUAAUUCAUCCAUAUCUCGUUGCAGCAUGGCUUGGCAAGAGCUUAUGGGGAAAGGGCACUCUGCUGAGGGAAUAGCCACAGAUCGUAAAGGUGGGAGAAGGGACACUGGUGUGGAAGAUGGUCCUGGGAAGUUUCCCCGGUUGGGGAGGGGCUAGAGCCACACAACAUGAGGUGGGGUGAACUAAGACCCUCUCAUUACCCAGGGUGGGCCCUGGGGUGGAAACUAAGGGACUUAAGUUCUUGCUGCUGUCCCCCUUUCCCUCCUUCUUCCCUUUAAAGGGGGAAAAUGAAGAGCCAGCCACUUGAAGAAAUGAAAAAGAGAGGGCCUGUGUGAUGAGGGGCAGACCACCAAGAAAAACAUGCUUCAAUACCCCACCACCCCCCACUCCCCCUAUUCCCUCUGCCCUCCUGUUUUUUAACCAGGAGUGAUGCUCUCUCCUUAGAUGCCUACCAUAACAUGUGGCUGCCAGUGUGGCUAGAGGAGUGCUCCUCAUGAAUAAACAGGAGAGACUCUUGCUCCCAGAGGCCAUGCAGGGGUCUUGCAGGCUGCUUACCACCCUGUGCGGCUCACCCACAGCAUACUCACGUGUUGCAAUAUCGAAACACGCCCUUGAUAUCCACCUCCCGGGUGCUUGCGUGUGUUAGGGGCACCGUGGUCAUCUCGGAGCCCAGCCCUACGAGCACCAGGGUCCCCCCAGCACGAGUAGCCUGGAGGGGAGAUAUGAACAAGAUAACCCAGAAGAUCAGAAAGUGCAGGCUUCUCCAUUCAAAAUGACUUCUGUCAUUCGCCUCCGCAAACAAUCCCAAAUACCAGCAGCUUUGCAAAACAAGGAUUUAGAAGCUGGCAUCACUCUGUUGUCCCCUGUAUGAAAUGUUCCAGAAGAACCACAUCUGAUGGCAGCAGCUGCUUGGCUGUCCCUGGACGGGUCAUGAUGAGAGAGAGCCUGACUUCUAAGCAGUUGAUUAAAU